rnacentral:rRNA from 1 species
GACGAACGCUGGCGGCGUGCUUAACACAUGCAAGUCGAACGGAAAGGCUCUGCUUUUGUGGGGUGCUCGAGUGGCGAACGGGUGAGUAACACGUGAGUAACCUGCCCUUGACUUUGGGAUAACUUCAGGAAACUGGGGCUAAUACCGGGUAGGAGCUCCUGCUGCAUGGUGGGGGUUGGAAAGUUUCGGCGGUUGGGGAUGGACUCGCGGCUUAUCAGCUUGUUGGUGGGGUAGUGGCUUACCAAGGCUUUGACGGGUAGCCGGCCUGAGAGGGUGACCGGCCACAUUGGGACUGAGAUACGGCCCAGACUCCUACGGGAGGCAGCAGUGGGGAAUAUUGCACAAUGGGCGGAAGCCUGAUGCAGCAACGCCGCGUGCGGGAUGACGGCCUUCGGGUUGUAAACCGCUUUCGCCUGUGACGAAGCGUGAGUGACGGUAAUGGGUAAAGAAGCACCGGCUAACUACGUG